rnacentral:rRNA from 1 species
AGUGAACGCUGGCGGUAGGCCUAACACAUGCAAGUCGAACGGCAGCACAGUAAGAGCUUGCUCUUACGGGUGGCGAGUGGCGGACGGGUGAGGAAUACAUCGGAAUCUACUUUUUCGUGGAGGAUAACGUAGGGAAACUUACGCUAAUACCGCAUACGACCUACGGGUGAAAGCAGGGGAUCUUCGGACCUUGCGCGAUUGAAUGAGCCGAUGUCGGAUUAGCUAGUUGGCGGGGUAAAGGCCCACCAAGGCGACGAUCCGUAGCUGGCCUGAGAGGAUGAUCAGCCACACUGGAACUGAGACACGGUCCAGACUCCUACGGGAGGCAGCAGUGGGGAAUAUUGGACAAUGGGCGCAAGCCUGAUCCAGCCAUACCGCGUGGGUGAAGAAGGCCUUCGGGUUGUAAAGCCCUUUUGUUGGGAAAGAAAAGCAGCAGGUUAAUACCCCGCUGUUCUGACGGUACCCAAAGAAUAAGCACCGGCUAACUUCGUG